rnacentral:rRNA from 1 species
UCCCGAGCGUUGUCCGGANUUAUUGGGCGUAAAGGGAGCGCAGGCGGUCAGGAAAGUCUGGAGUAAAAGGNUAUGGCUCAACCAUAGUGUGCUCUGGAAACUNUCUGACUUGAGUGCAGAAGGGGAGAGUGGAAUUCCAUGUGUAGCGGUGAAAUGCGUAGAUAUAUGGAGGAACACCAGUGGCGAAAGCGGCUCUCUGGUCUGUCACUGACGCUGAGGCUCGAAAGCGUGGGUAGCGAACAGGAUUAGAUACCCUGGUAGUCCACGCCGUAAACGAUGAGUGCUAGGUGUUAGGCCCUUUCCGGGGCUUAGUGCCGGAGCUAACGCAAUAAGCACUCCGCCUGGGGAGUACGACCGCAAGGUUGAAACUCAAAGGAAUUGACGGGGGCCCGCACAAGCGGUGGAGCAUGUGGUUUAAUUCGAAGCAACGCGAAGAACCUUACCAGGUCUUGACAUCCCGAUGCUAUUCUUAGAGAUAGGAAGUUACUUCGGUACAUCAGAGACAGGUGGUGCAUGGUUGUCGUCAGCUCGUGUCGUGAGAUGUUGAGUUAAGUCCCGCAACGAGCGCAACCCUUAUUGUUAGUUGCCAUCAUUAAGUUGGGCACUCUAGCGAGACUGCCGGUAAUAAACCGGAGGAAGGUGGGGAUGACGUCAAAUCAUCAUGCCCCUUAUGACCUGGGCUACACACGUGCUACAAUGGUCGGUACAACGAGUUGCGAGCCGGUGGCGGCAAGCUAAUCUCUGAAAGCCGAUCUCAGUUCGGAUUGGAGGCUGCAACUCGCCUCCAUGAAGUCGGAAUCGCUAGUAAUCGCGGAUCAGCACGCCGCGGUGAAUACGUUCCCGGGCCUUGUACACACCGCCCGUCACACCACGAGAGUUUGUAACACCCGAAGUCG